UACGGGGGGGGGCAAGCGUUGUUCGGAAUUACUGGGCGUAAAGGGCUCGUAGGCGGCCAACUAAGUCAUACGUGGAAUCCCUCGGCUUAACCGGGGAACUGCGUCUGAUACUGGAUGGCUUGAGAUUGGAGAGGAGUGCGGAAUUCCAGGUGUAGCGGUGAAAUGCGCAGAUAUCUGGAGGAACACCGGUGGCGAAGGCGGCGAUCUGGCCCAACAUUGACACUGAGACCCGAAAGCGUGGGGAUCAAACAGG
rnacentral:rRNA from 1 species